rnacentral:rRNA from 1 species
UGGGGAAUAUUGCACAAUGGGCGCAAGCCUGAUGCAGCCAUGCCGCGUGUGUGAAGAAGGCCUUCGGGUUGUAAAGCACUUUCAGCGAGGAGGAAGGGUAGUGUGUUAAUAGCACAUUGCAUUGACGUUACUCGCAGAAGAAGCACCGGCUAACUCCGUGCCAGCAGCCGCGGUAAUACGGAGGGUGCAAGCGUUAAUCGGAAUUACUGGGCGUAAAGCGCACGCAGGCGGUUUGUUAAGUCAGAUGUGAAAUCCCCGCGCUUAACGUGGGAACUGCAUUUGAAACUGGCAAGCUAGAGUCUUGUAGAGGGGGGUAGAAUUCCAGGUGUAGCGGUGAAAUGCGUAGAGAUCUGGAGGAAUACCGGUGGCGAAGGCGGCCCCCUGGACAAAGACUGACGCUCAGGUGCGAAAGCGUGGGGAGAAAACA